rnacentral:rRNA from 1 species
CACCGCGGUUAGACGAGAGGCCCCAGUUGAUAUUAUAACGGCGUAAAGGGUGGUUAAGGUUAAAGAAUAAUAAAGCCAAAUGGCCCCUUGGCCGUCAUACGCUUCUAGGCGUCCGAAGCCCUACACACGAAAGUAGCUUUAAUAAAAUCUGCCCGACCCCACGAAAGCUAAGAAA